CUCUGUCUUUUGGGACGAUAAUGACGGUACCAAAGGAGGAAGCCACGGCUAACUACGUGCCAGCAGCCGCGGUAAUACGUAGGUGGCAAGCGUUGUCCGGAAUUACUGGGCGUAAAGGAUGUGUAGGCGGAUAUUUAAGUGAGAUGUGAAAUCCCCGAGCUCAACUUGGGGGCUGCAUUUCAAACUGGGUAUCUAGAGUGCAGGAGAGGAAAGCGGAAUUCCUAGUGUAGCGGUGAAAUGCGUAGAGAUUAGGAAGAACAUCAGUGGCGAAGGCGGCUUUCUGGACUGUAACUGACGCUGAGGCAUGAAAGCGUGGGGAGCAAACAGGAUUAGAUACCCUGGUAGUCCACGCCGUAAACGAUGAGUACUAGGUGUAGGAGGUAUCGACUCCUUCUGUGCCGCAGUUAACACAAUAAGUACUCCGCCUGGGAAGUACGGUCGCAAGAUUAAAACUCAAAGGAAUUGACGGGGGCCCGCACAAGCAGCGGAGCAUGUGGUUUAAUUCGAAGCAACGCGAAGAACCUUACCUAGACUUGACAUCCCCUGAAUAACGUAGAGAUACGCGAAGCCCUUCGGGGCAGGGAGACAGGUGGUGCAUGGUUGUCGUCAGCUCGUGUCGUGAGAUGUUGGGUUAAGUCCCGCAACGAGCGCAACCCUUAUCAUUAGUUGCUACCAUUUAGUUGAGCACUCUAGUGAGACUGCCCGGGUUAACCGGGAGGAAGGCGGGGAUGACGUCAAAUCAUCAUGCCCCUUAUGUCUAGGGCUACACACGUGCUACAAUGGUGAGAACAACGAGAUGCAAUACCGCGAGGUGGAGCAAAACUUCAAAACUCAUCUCAGUUCGGAUUGUAGGCUGAAACUCGCCUACAUGAAGUUGGAGUUGCUAGUAAUCGCGAAUCAGAAUGUCGCGGUGAAUACGUUCCCGGGCCUUGUACACACCGCCCGUCACACCAUGAGAGCUGGUAACACCCGAAGUCCGUGAGGUAACCUUUAUUGGGGCCAGCGGCCGAAGGUGGGAUUAGUGAUUGGGGUGAAGUCGUAACAAGGUAGCCGUAGGAGAACCUGCGGCUGGAUCACCUCCUUU
rnacentral:ncRNA from 1 species